rnacentral:lncRNA from 1 species
GGUGUCCUAUGAUCAUUUUGGUCAAGGGGAUGAAUUAUAUGAAAACUAUAUCAGCAUGGGUUCUAAGGAUGUUGUUCUAUACAUUCGACCUAUCCGGUCGUCGGGUACCAUUGCUAGAUGGUCACUUUGAUUGGUAUAAAAAUUUAUUCCUAUGCUACCGGCUUAGGUUCGGACCUAUGAGGUCACACACAUUAGAUUUCAUGAUCUGAUCAGAUGGUUGAUCAACGAUUAAGAAUCGUUCUAGGGUUAAAUGAUCAAUACGAUUGACAUUUAACCCAGUACAAGUGUUGCAGGAGGAUCAAUUAGCAAUUUGAUUGCUAAUUGGCUUAAUUUGAUUAAGCCAAUGGGCUGAGAUUAAGUCUAAUUAAAUAUGAUUUAAUUAGAUUUAGUUUGGGUUUGAUUGGAUCAAGUUCAAUUGGUUUAUUGGAUAAGCCAAGUACAAGGAAAAACUAGUUCUAGUUCAACUAGGACUUGGGUCAAUCUAAUUUCUAAUUUGAUUAGAAAAUUAAAUCAGAUUUAAAUCUAAUUUAAUCUGAUUAAAUUAGGUUCUUAAUUAGGUUAAGACCUAUUUUAAUUGGAUUGAUAUAAUUUUGAUUUGAUUUGAUUUGGAAAACCAAAUUAAAACAAGUCAUAAGACAGAAUCCUAGUAAGACUAAGAUUCCACCUUGCGCCACAUAAUCCUUCUCCACACCCUCUCUCUUAUUCAAUGCCAAUCUCCACUUAUUUUGUGUGACAAAAGCCCUCUCCCAGAUCUCUCCCAUAUUCACAAAAGGUCUCCUCUCUUUUUUCUUACAUGGAAGGUGGUUUGGAUCAAAUCUAAAAGGAAUAAGUUUGGAUUUCGAAUUCUAUGAGAUAGAGUUUUAGAAAUCCAAAACUCUUUCAAUUUUGCACCGAAUUUAUCCAAAUAUUUUUGAAAUUUUUGUGGCUUUUAGGGUA